rnacentral:misc_RNA from 1 species
GAUGAAGAACGUAGCGAAAUGCGAUAAGUAAUGUGAAUUGCAGAAUUCAGUGAAUCAUCGAAUCUUUGAACGCACAUUGCGCCCAUUAGUAUUCUAGUGGGCAUGCCUGUUCGAGCGUCAUUUCAACCCUUAAGCCUAGCUUAGUGUUGGGAGCCUACUGCUUUUACUAGCUGUAGCUCCUGAAAUACAACGGCGGAUCUGCGAUAUCCUCUGAGCGUAGUAAUUUUUAUCUCGCUUUUGACUGGAGUUGCAGCGUCUUUAGCCGCUAAAUCCCCCAAUUUUUAAUGGUUGACCUCGGAUCAGGUAGGAAUACCCGCUGAACUUAAGCAUAUCAAUAAGCGGAGGA